rnacentral:rRNA from 1 species
UACGUAGGGACCAAGCGUCGUUCGGAUUUACUGGGCGUAAAGGGCGCGUAGGCGGCUUAACAAGUCACUUGUGAAAUCUCCGGGCUUAACUCGGAACGGCCAAGUGAAACUGUCAAGCUAGAGUGCAGAAGGGGCAAUCGGAAUUCUUGGUGUAGCGGUGAAAUGCGUAGAUAUCAAGAGGAACACCUGAGGUGAAGACGGGUUGCUGGGCUGACACUGACGCUGAGGCGCGAAAGCCAGGGGAGCAAACGGG